GGCCCUAAAGGCGUGAGUUGGGAUACAAUAAGCGACGCCAUGACAGUGCUACGAAAAGACACACAUUAACGCUUACGCUAUUCGGUAGCCAACGGCCAAUUAAUGUUUCGGCAGUGUAGAAAAAACGGCGUUUCUCCGCCAUGUUUUAGCGUGAUCUCAAAAGCUGCUGUUUGCAAUAUUUAAGUACAACUAUUGCCAUCUUUAAUGGCUACCGUUUUAAAAACAUGUCAUAUUUUGGACGUUUUAACGAAAUGGUUUUAAUUUGUUAUCUGUCUUUUUUUAACGUUCUCGUGUAAUUAUAAUAAUUUAAACUAGAGUUAAUAUUUUUAAGUUAAGAGUUUUAGUUUUUCUAUGUGAAUCAAUGCGAGGAUAACAUAAUAGACACAGAUAAAUAUGAAAAUAUCAAGAAAAUCAGCAAAUUAGUAAGAGGUAAAUCCUAGUUAUAUUGGAUAUCUCUUAUUGAUAUUUAUAUUGCAUAUGAUAAAGCAGUCACUAAUGAACAUAAUUAGAAGUUCUAAAUAUAUUAAUCAAAUAAAGUGGAUUUAUAGGUACUUCAUGAACUUUGGAAAUAUAAAAUCUAGUGAGCAAUACUAAGGAAUGAAAAAGAGAAGCUCUCCAUAGCUUGAAAUAAUGGUUGGUUAAGUAACAUUACCUCGAGAACAGGAAACAGUAACUGAAACUAUGUUCUUCUACAUUUAAUCUUAAUAAGUUCAGCAGUUUGAAUGUUAAUGAGACAUUAUUAUAAACAAACUGCAUUUGUAGAUUUUGGGAAGAAUUAUAUCUUUACAAUAA